CUAAACUUGCUCAAAGCGAAGAAACAUGAUAAGUUGCUUUGGUUUUAGUUUUUCACAGUGCUAAAUGCAAGUUGUGAAGGGCUUUGGAGCUUAAAAUAUAGAAAUUUUUUUUUGAAGAAUCACAGGCAUGAAAACCACCUGCACAAUUUCAAAUUGUGACAAAAAAGCCAUUUUGCGCAAGUUUCUCAACUUUUCGUUGUCUUUGGUACUAAAUUGCUUUGCAUACAUUUUUAGGAGAAUUCGUGAAUGCUGUGGGAUUGGACAAGAAUGCUCUUCAUUUUGGGAUGGCGUGAAUUAUU
rnacentral:lncRNA from 1 species